GGGGUACUCUUAGAACCCCGGAGAAGCGUGUUAAUAGUCGUGCUUUUGGCCGGGCACGAUGGUUAGGGAAUC
ncrna:unclassified sequences L13-Bacteroidia ribosomal protein leader